GACGAACGCUGGCGGCGUGCUUAACACAUGCAAGUCGAACGGUGAAGCGCCUUCCUUUUUGGUGGGUGUGGAUGAGUGGCGAACGGGUGAGUAACACGUGAGUAACCUGCCCCCUUCUUCUGGAUAACCGCAUGAAAGUGUGGCUAAUACGGGAUAUUCUGGGUCUGUCGCAUGAUGGGUCUGGGAAAGAUAUUGUUUCGGUGGGGGAUGGGCUCGCGGCCUAUCAGCUUGUUGGUGGGGUGAUGGCCUACCAAGGCGGUGACGGGUAGCCGGCCUGAGAGGGUGGACGGUCACACUGGGACUGAGACACGGCCCAGACUCCUACGGGAGGCGGCAGUGGGGAAUAUUGCACAAUGGGCGCAAGCCUGAUGCAGCGACGCCGCGUGAGGGACGGAGGCCUUCGGGUUGUGAACCUCUUUCGCCAGUGAAGCAGGCCUGCCUCGUUUGUGGGUGGGUUGACGGUAGCUGGAUAAGAAGCGCCGGCUAACUACGUG
rnacentral:rRNA from 1 species